rnacentral:lncRNA from 1 species
CGCCUCUGCGAUCAAUCAAGUCUUCCUCAUCCUCGUCAAAGGAGCACGCUCUAUAUCUCUCUCGUUUGUUCUUCAUCCUAAAUUCUUAAUUACUACUUUGUUGAUAAUCUUGAAUUUUUUCAUUGCACAGUUUUGAUUGUUCUUCUUCUUCAGAUCGGCUUCUCAAACUCGAUUAAAUGACUCGAUUUUAGGGUUUGCAGUUCUUGAUUUCUUCGAUUUCAUGGAUAUCGUUGUUGAAUUGCGUUUUCAUAUGCUAUUUUCGGAUUAUAGAUAUCAAGAAUUUCACAAUUCUUCAAUGGUUAAUCGAGAUUUGCGUUUAUCGAUUUUGCAGCAAGCUGAAACGUUUUAGGGUUCUUGAUUCGAUGCAUGAGAACGGAGAACAAUCAGAUAGGUAAAUCAAUUUUCUUCGAUGAGUGUCCUUCUUUAUGGUUUUUAUUUUUUCUUUGGCCUUGAUGCAAGAUAAUCGAAUUGAACCUUGAAUGUGUUUUUCUGCAGCAUGAUUCUUCAAUAACUUUCUUAUGGAGCCUCUAGUUUGUUGUGAUUUGGUGAUCUCUAAUAAAAAAAUAUUCUUUCAAUCUUUUUUCAUCAAUUAAACUUAUUCUUAUUCUCACAGUUUAUAUUUCUUGAUUUCUUGAUAUGUUGGCCAGAUUCUCUGCUCCGUGAUUGCUUAAUACCAUAUUGUAGGCAUCAAGAAUCAGAAUUUUACACGAUCACAUUUUCAUGAAUCUUUUACUUAUCAGUCAUUAGGAAUUAUUAUUUGUAUAAAUUUAUUGUUAUAAUUCUUCUGUUAGAUAAUAGAUAAUUGAGACGUGCAUUGUUGGUUUUGCAGUGAACUGAAGUCAAAAUACUAACUUGCUUCAUAGCAUGGUGCCUCGAGAUUUGGUUUGGCUAUCUUUAAUAAAAAAUUUGUUUCAACCUUUCUUUAUUGAUUCUUAUAUCAUAUUUCUUGAUUUGGUAUUUACUAUUUGGUUCUUUGGUAGAAGAUAUGAAUAUAUGAUUUAAAAUAUUUUAUUCUAAAGUUUGCUUGUUCUUGUGUUCAAUUUUCUUUUGUUUCUUGAUUCCUUGAUAUGUUGAUUUGUUGGCCAGGUUGUGUUUUCCAUGGUUGCUAUAAACUAGAACAAGAGAUUGUUAGUGAUAUAUGCUUUUUUCCUAUUGUAGAUAACAAGAAAUUGACACAAUCAACACUUCUCUUGACUCUUCUUUUAAAUCGGUUAUCAAGAUUAUUUGUCUAAAUUUUGU